UAUUAAAAACAUGGCUUAUUGAUUAUAAUUUUAGGUCAGGCCUGCCCACUGAGAAAUUAAAUGGCCGCGGUAUAUUGACCGUGCAAAGGUAGCAUAAUCAUUAGUUUUUUAAUUGAAAGCUUGUAUGAAAGGUUUGAUGAGGAAAUAUCUGUCUCUAAAAAAAUUUAUUAGAAUUUUAUUUUUAAGUUAAAAAGCUUAAAUUUCCAUUGAAGACGAGAAGACCCUGUAGAGUUUUAUAUUUAUAUUUUUACUAAAAUUUUAGGAAUUUAUGUUUGAGUUUUGGUUUAUUUAUUUUGUUGGGGUGAUUGGAAAAUUAAGGUAACUUUUCUUUAUUAAAAUAUUUAUUUAUAAAUUUAUGAUCCUGUAUUUAUAGAUUAAAAGAUUAAAUUACCUCAGGGAUAACAGCGUAAUUUUUUUAAAAGUUCUUAUUGAAAAAGAAGAUUGCGACCUCGAUGUUGGAUUAAAAUUAAUUAUUGGUGCAGAAGCUAAUAAAUUUGGUCUGUUCGACCUUUAAAAUUUUACAUGAUCUGAGUUUAAACCGGUGUGAGCCAGGUCGGUU
rnacentral:rRNA from 1 species